GGCGGAAUAGCUCAGCUGGCUAGAGCACGCGGUUCAUACCCGCGGUGUCGGGGGUUCAAGUCCCUUUUCCGCUA
rnacentral:tRNA from 1 species